ensembl:lncRNA
CCAGACUGUUGCUGUUACAACUGACCCAGACUCCUAUAGCCAUGAACUAGCUAACAUUACAGCCAACGGCUAAAACAUUAGCACUAAAGACCUACACAGAAUAUAUCCCCAUAGACAUACAAAUAACACAAUUUAAGUUUGAUGAGUUUAACUGCAAAGCAGAUAAUGCUAUUACAAAUUGAAAUAAAGUAGAAAAACUUACUUUUUGGCAUACAAAUUACUUUUUUUCGUGUUAAAUUGUCUGUGUUUGACAAAAUGUGCUGAUUUUUCACAUGUGAUAGCAGAACUGAAUUGGGCAUGCACAGGAUGAAUCACAUCAUUUGAAACUUAGCCCUGAUUGGAGAAAUUGGAAGUGUUACAACUGACCCACGUUACAACUAUCCCCGGUCUCCCCUACACAUAUUCUCUGUGUUUUAAUUUGAUGCAGGAUGAAAGCAAACAUGUCACACUGAUGUGUUACAGCAUUUUUCUUUUUUUAAAUGAGUGAAGUUAUCAAACCAGAAGCCAAGAGGCUUGAUGUUGUGUCCACUCCUACUGGAUCCCUACUGUCUGUUUAACGAGCAGGCUGUGAAGUGUUAACAACUCAAUGUUGCUCUGAAUUUAAAUCUUGAAAGACUGAAAAAGACUUUGGUGAAAUUCGUGGCUCUUCAGGUGUUCUCUGGAAAUACAAUCAAGCUUCCACAGUGAAUCUAUAAUGAUAACUAGAAAGUGCAUUUUCUGAAGAAACUGCAGUGUGAAUGCUUGAAUCUGAAUGUAUGCAUUGAAAUGAAAUAAUUACUGAAUUUAAGUUAAAAAUUUUGAAUGAGAUUAAAAAAAAAACCCGAAUUUAACCUGAAAACAAAAGUGCUGAACUGCUAAAAGCUGAAGGUUACACAGAAGAAGAAGUUGGAAAAAAGCUGAAAAUGUUUUAAUUGUAAAUUAGAAAAACCUAAGAAAUGAGAAAAGAACAUUUAGAGUCAGAAAACAUCUGAAAGAAUAUUAAAAGGUCAUAUUCUUUGAAUCACUGAAUGACUAAAAUGUGAUCCCUCCACUUGGACCCACACAGUUUAAAAAGUUUACAUCUCUGAGCUUUGAAAGACAAGAUGUUGGAAAGAGAACAACGUUUUGAGGGUAAAAUGAUGGCUUUAACACUGUGGACACAGCAGCAGUUGAAAGAGAAGUGUUUAAGAUGAAUCUUGGCAGAGUGAGAGAGAGAGCUCGUUAAGCAGGCAGGUGUGAGCCUGGUUGCUAUAGUGACCGCACCCAAGGGCUCCAUACACACGUACACAGACAUGCACCUCACUUUUGCUGCUUAAAAUGAACAGAAAAGUCAGGCCGAAACAAAUCGCUCCCAAAUGAAAAGUAAAAGUCGCAUUGACAAAAUUCUUUCACCGUGAGCGACAGCAAUGGCUAGUCUACCUAAUUCUCAGUUUUCAUGCCUGUGGAGCUUAUUAUAUGGACGUGGUGACAGUGUAAAGACACCAUGCUCUUCUGAUUUUCAAACCAACCUUCUGAGACAUUUUAACAUUGGAGUCUAUGGAAGAGUUGGAGGGAGGAGGCUGUGCAUUGGUGAGAUUUAUGAAAGAACCAUAACACCUAGUACAAUAGUAAACACAUUGGAUGAAAGAGGACAGCGAUGGCUACGUUUUGAGGGUAAAAUCAUACCUGUAGAGCAAACGCUGCAGACACAGCAGCAGUUUUAAAAAAGAUUUUAAGAUUAAUUUUUUUGCUCCUCUCACUCUAGCAGUUGAGCUGCCUCACUCUAGCCCCAACAUUCCGUCCCAUACACACCCAUUAUAAACUCUGAAACGGGUGAAAAAACAUCAUGAAACUUAAACUGGAACUGAAGAAAAAGUAUAAUAGAUAUUGAAAAGAUAAAUACAAGUUGAAUAGUUGAAUGUCUUGUCUUCGUUUUAAAGUUUGAAUGGUGGCUCUAUGUCAAUGUAUGUGGAAGUAGUAAGAGUUUAAAAAUGAGUAAGUUGAAUGAGGAUUUGAAGGGUCUCCCCAUUGAAAUACAUUAUAAAUUUUUGUUGAAUAAAGUUGAAUAAAAUUAAAAAUAUAAAUGUUAAAAAUAUGAAAAAUAGAAGCAGUGUUGUCCAAAAGAAUAGGAAUCUAACGGUGUUUGAAUGGUUUUUCUAAGUUGAACGGUUUUGAAGGAGUAGGCUUACAAAAAACGUACGGAAUACAGAAUAAAAUAUAAUAACUAGAAAGUGCAUUUUCUGAAGAAACUGCAGUGUGAAUGCUUGAAUCUGAAUGUAUGCACUGAAAUGAAUUAAUUGCUGAAUUUUGAGUUAAAAAUAUUGAAUGAGAUAAAAAACAAAACAAAAAAAAACCCGAAUUUAACCUGAAAACAAAGGUGCUGAACUGCUAAAAGCUGAAGGUUACACAGAAGAAGAAGUUGGAAAAAAACUGAAAAUGUUUUAAAUGUAAAUUAGAAAACCCUAAGAAAUGAGAAAAGAACAUUUAGAGUCAGAAAACAUCUGAAUGAAUAUUAAAAGGUCAUAUUCUUUGAAUCACUGAAUGACUAAAAUGUGAUCCCUCCACUUUGAUCCACACAGUUUAAAAAGUUUAAAUGCCUGAGCUUUGAAAGAUACGGUGUUGGAAAGAGAACAAUAAUGGCGACAAUUUGAGGGUAAAAUGAUGGCUGUAACACUGUGGACACAGCAGCAGUUGAAAGAGAAGUGCUUAAGAUGAAUCUUGGCACAGUGGCAGGCAGAGCUCGUUAAGCAGGCAGGUGUGAGCCUGGUUGCUAUAGUGACCGCACCCAAUGGCUCCAUACACACGUACACAGACAUGCGCCUCACUUUUGCUGCUUAAAAUGAACAGAAAAGUCAGGCCGAAACAAAUCGCUCCCAAAUGAAAAGUAAAAGUCGUAUUGACAAAAUUCUUUCACCGUGAGCGACAGCAAUGUCUAGUCUACCUAAUUCUCAGUUUUCAUGCCUGUGGAGCUUAUUAUAUGGACGUGGUGACAGUGGAAAGACACCAUGCUCUUCUGAUUUUCAAACGAACCUUCUGAGCCAUUUUAACAUUAGAGUCUAUGGAAGAGUUGGAGGGAGGAGGCUGUGCAUUGGUGACAUUUAUGAAAGAACCAUAACACCUAGUACAAUAGUAAACACAUUGGAUGAAAGAGGACAGCCAUGGCUACGUUUUGAGGGUAAAAUCAUACCUGUAGAGCAAACGCUGCGGACACAGCAGCAGUUUUAAAAAAUAUUUUAAGAUUAAUUUUUUUGCUCCUCUCACUCUAGCAGUUGAGCUGCCUCACUCUAGCCCCAACAUUCCGUCCCAUACACACCCAUUAUAAACUCUGAAACGGGUGAAAAAACAUCAUGAAACUUAAACUGGAACUGAAGAAAAAGUAUAAUAGAUAUUGAAAAGAUAAAUACAAGUUGAAUAGUUGAAUGUCUUGUCUUCGUUUUAAAGUUUGAAUGGUGGCUCUAUGUCAAUGUAUGUGGAAGUAGUAAGAGUUUAAAAAUGAGUAAGUUGAAUGAGGAUUUGAAGGGUCUCCCCAUUGAAAUACAUUAUAAAUUUUUGUUGAAUAAAGUUGAAUAAAAUUAGAAAUAUAAAUGUUAAAAAUAUGAAAAAUAGAAGCAGUGUUGUCCAAAAGAAUAGGAAUCUAACGGUGUUUGAAUGGUUUUUCUAAGUUGAACGGUUUUGAAGUUAUAGGAUUACAAAAAACGUACGGAAUACAGAAUAAAAUAUAAUAAUAAUAAUAAUAAAGAUUCGAAUAACAAUACUGUGAAUGCUUUUCAAGCAUUCACACUAAUAAUAACUAGAAAGUGCAUUUUCUGAAGAAACUGCAGUGUGAAUGCUUGAAUCUGAAUGUAUGCACUGAAAUGAAUUAAUUGCUGAAUUUUAAGUUAACAAUGUUGAACGAGAUGAAAGAUACAGAAA